GGUUGAUCAAGAUGUUUGAUGUAUUGGUUGGGCAAAUUUUCACAUAUUUGGAUUUUGUUAGCAUGUUAUUUAGCUCAAACAACCUUGUGAUUUUUUGGUUGCUUUGUGACAGGUUUUGGACAGUCGCGGCCAUCUGCUGGUAGCAUUGGGUCAUGGUCUAUGGCCUUCUAUGGUUUUGAUAUCUGAAAUAGUUCAAACCUUUAUCCUAGCAGACUUCUGUUACUACUAUGUUAAAAGUGUUUUCGGUGGACAGCUGGUAAUGCGUCUUCCUUCUGGGGUCGUGUAACUGAUGAUUGUGAUAGUUAUGGACAGAAAUUUCACAUUCGUUUGUCACUUUUCUUUUGGUUAUCUUGGGUUUCUCUAGAAGGUCCCAGCUCUUGUCUAGGACCCUUCAGGCGCAAAAUCAGGCAUGCGCCUUUUGUGAAGUUAGCACUAUUUUAAAUAUAUAAGCAGUAGAUUUUCUUGCUAUGAUAGACUAUUUUACUUUAUUUAGCAGUUAGCACUAACAUAUGGCUUUUGGAUAUGUACUCAUUUUUGUACUUAUGUACUAAUGUACCACAUGAAUGAUAAAUGAUUCUGACAUAACUAUCCCUGAAUGUACCCCUCCCGUCGCCCUUUCCCUUUCA